UUUUUUUUGACAGAUUUUUGAGGACAGAUAUCACAGCUUCUCUGACCCUGAUAUACCCAGUUUCUAUUACGGAUCCCAUUAUUCAAGUAUGGGAAGUGUGUUGUAUUACCUUUUGAGGUUAGAGCCGUUUACAUCCCUUCAUCGUAGUCUACAGGGUGGUAAAUUUGAUCACGCAGAUCGUCUUUUCCAAAGUGUUGAGGGGUCCUUUCGGAAUUGCUUGUCCAAUACAAGCGAUGUAAAAGAAUUGAUCCCUGAGUUCUUCUACAUGCCUGAAUUUCUGGUGAAUUCUAACUCUUACCAUCUUGGAGUGAAACAAGAUGGUGAACCUCUUGGAGAUGUUUGUCUACCUCCAUGGGCUAAGG